rnacentral:piRNA from 1 species
UCAUUGCCCACCAAGAGGGGUCCGAUGCAA